CAAAGCAUGAUACAAGCAUGGUAUAGAUGGAUCAUGAUACAAAGUUUCGAAAAGGAGACUAAUAAGAUUACAAAGAAAAAUGGAACGAUUACUUUAUUGAACGUAGAUGCACGAAUAUAAAAUGCAAAAAUGUGGUCAUCGUUAUGUGAAUUUUGGUGUCGCAGCCCUACAAGUUCCCCAUGCUGUUUGGCGGAUGUGAGUCCUAGCUGAGCCAGCCAUUGUAACAGCUGGUAACAGCAAAGUUUUUCUUGUGCUGGACCUCUUGUCGUGUGAUUUGACUGAUGAACUCCUGUCAUCAGCAGCAAUCACAGUAGCCUAUCAUUCCUUAGAUAAACAGCAUCCCUCUGGAUUGGAGAAACUUCCAGUGUCGACCGAGUUAAGGAUCUCUUCAAUUCCCGUUUCUUUUUUUUUGUCCUCGUGUACGCCCAUGUGAAUAUGGGUGUAUUCACG